rnacentral:rRNA from 1 species
UACAGAGGGUGCAAGCGUUAAUCGGAAUUACUGGGCGUAAAGCGAGCGUAGUCGGUUAUUUAAGUCGGAUGUGAAAUCCCCGGGCUCAACCUGGGAAUUGCAUUCGAUACUGGAUAGCUAGAGUUCGGCAGAGGGAAGCGGAAUUUCGGGCGUAGCGGUGAAAUGCGUAGAUAUCCGAAGGAACAUCAGUGGCGAAAGCGGCUUCCUGGACCAGAACUGACGAUCAGGCUCGAAAGCGUGGGGAGCAAACAGG